GGGGGCAUAGCUCAGGGGUAAAACAUUUGACUGCAGAUCAAGAGGUCCCCGGUUCAAAUCCGGGUGCCCCGUGCCU